UCGAAAUCGGUAGGACGCUACGGACUUGAAAAUCCGUUGGCUUUAUUGACCGUGAGGGUUCAAGUCCCUCUACCCCCA
rnacentral:tRNA from 1 species